rnacentral:sRNA from 1 species
AUAUCUAAACUAUAUAAGAAAGUAAAAUUUAACAUGUUAAUAUGGAAAAUUUUUUUAUUUUUGUAUCUUGAUGACUUAAAUGUAAGCAACAAAGUGGUUAAACACAUACCCAUCUAAAUUUUUUUAUAGCCUUCCAUGUUAAACUAUAAGUAAAUAAUUAGUUUUAAAAUUGUUUUGUAUUUUCUUAUUCCUGUUCCCUUUACCCUUUGACAACUUGAAAUGUUACCACUUCGUCCUCAUGAUGUUCUUCUAUCAACCCUGCUUAGGAUGAGAACAAGUUGAGCAGUGCCAACGGCCAUGAAGAACGUAGCAAAAAGAGGAAAAAAAGCAAGAGCAGAAGUCGUAGUCAUGAACGAAAGAGAAGCAAAAGUAAGGAACGGAAGCGAAGUAGAGACAGAGAAAGGAAAAAGAGCAAAAGCCGUGAAAGAAAGCGAAGUAGAAGCAAGGAGAGGCGACGGAGCCGCUCAAGAAGUCGAGAUCGAAGAUUUAGAGGCCGCUACAGAAGUCCUUAUGUAAUUUUGUGUUUCCUUUUUAGCUCCGGACCAAAAUUUAACAGUGCCAUCCGAGGAAAGAUUGGGUUGCCUCAUAGCAUCAAAUUAAGCAGACGACGUUCCCGAAGCAAAAGUCCAUUCAGAAAAGACAAGAGCCCUGUGAGAGAACCUAUUGAUAAUUUAACUCCUGAGGAAA